GCGUGGAAUGAAUUAACACUAACAUAAUUUCGCAUUGAACUAAAUGCAUACUUCUUUUACUUAAUUACACAGAUGUGCAUAUCUUCCUUAAAUUCGCAACUCAAUGACAAGAUGUGCAUAUCUUCCUUAAAUGUGUCACAUUUUCGACCACGUGAACCAGAAAGUGAAACUGAGAUAACUAUUGCUUCGGACCCAACACUGUGCACUUAUGGUCCAAUGCAUGUUGGCCCGUGAACGUGAUAUAUUGGAAAGCAAAAGAUAGUGUACGUGGCAGAUUUGAAGUUCAGAGCAGUGAGAAAAGAAAAGACCCGAAGCUUCCUCUGGCGAUAAAGAGAGAAGCAAGUGACGGUGGCCGGCAGAGCUCCGACGCGGUGGCGGAAGACGUUGACGCAGAAGAGAAAAAUGAAGAUCGUGAUGAGAUUGCACUUCUACAAAAGCACUGUCCACAUUCAAGGACUCAAGGGCAGAGGUUUCCAUGAAGAAUAUCUUCUCUUUUUCUGCAAAUUCUUUGGCUUCAUCAGUUGACACUGCACGCAAAUGUCGAAGAUCUGCCUUGUUUCCCACCAGCAUCACCACAACAUAUGCUUCUGUGUGAUCCCGAAGCUCCUUCAACCAUCUCUCAACGUUCUCAAACGUCACAUGUCGAGUUACAUCGUACACAACCAAAGCACCAACUGCUCCUCUGUAAUAUGCACUUGUAAUAGCACGAUAU